CGCCCAACAGCUAGCCCAAAAACAACCCACAACAACCAACCAUUAAUACCCCCCAAUAACCUAAAGCCAUCUAAACAAACCAUUUUUCCCCCUUAGUAUGGGCGACAGAAAAGGACCCAGGAGCAACAGAAAAAGUACCGCAAGGGAAAGCUGAAAAAGAAAUGAAACAACCCAUCAAUUAAGCCCAAAAAAGCAGAGAAUCAAACUCGUACCUUUUGCAUCAUGAUUUAGCUAGUACCCCCUAAGCAAAGAGCCCUUUAGUUUAGCCCCCCGAAACUGAGCGAGCUACUCCAAGACAGCCUAUCAUAGGGCUAACCCGUCUCUGUGGCAAAAGAGUGGGGAGAGCUUUGAGUAGAGGUGAAAAGCCUACCGAGCCCAGUAAUAGCUGGUUGCCUAAGAAAUGAAUAUAAGUUCAGCCUCCAAGCCUUCCCACCCCAAGCAAGUCUCACCCACAUUGGCCCUAGGAAGCCCAGAGAGUUAGUUAAAGGAGGUACAGCUCCUUUAAAAAAGAUACAACUUUUCCAGGCGGAUAUAGAUCAAAAUUAAGCAAGGUAUGUGUUUUAGUGGGCUUGGAAGCAGCCACCAUAGCAGAAAGCGUUAAAGCUCAGACAUACUCACACCUCCCCCAAUCCCGAUAAAAAAUCUAAAUCCCCAACCUGAUAUUAGGCCCCCUCAUGCCACCAUGAGAGAGUUUAUGCUAAAAUGAGUAACAAGAGGGCACGCCCCUCUCCUUGCACAAGUGUACAUCGACAUGGACCCACCACCGACCAUUAAACGGCCCCAAUCACAGAGGGGAGUGAACAGUAAACAACAAACUAGAAGACCACUCAACAGCCACCGUUAGCCCCACACUGGCGUGCAAUUAAGGAAAGACUAAAAGAAAAAGAAGGAACUCGGCAAACCUGGGCUCCGCCUGUUUACCAAAAACAUCGCCUCUUGCAACUAACAUAUAAGAGGUCCCGCCUGCCCUGUGACAAUUGUUCAACGGCCGCGGUAUUUUGACCGUGCGAAGGUAGCGUAAUCACUUGUCUUUUAAAUGAAGACCUGUAUGAAUGGCACGACGAAGGCCCAGCUGUCUCCUUUUUCAGGUCAGUGAAAUUGAUCUUCCCGUGCAGAAGCGGAAAUGACAACAUAAGACGAGAAGACCCUAUGGAGCUUCAGACAUAGGGCAGCUCACGUCAAGCACCCCCCGAUAAAGGGCUAAACCAAGUGAACCCCUACCCCAAUGUCUUUGGUUGGGGCGACCACGGGGAAAAACCAAGCCCCCACGCGGACAAAGGAGUAACCCUCCUACAACCAAGAGCCACCACUCUAAGUAACAGAAAUUCUGACCAAAAUGAUCCGGCAACGCCGAUCCACGGACCGAGUUACCCUAGGGAUAACAGCGCAAUCCUCUUCCAGAGCCCAUAUCUACAAGAGGGUUUACGACCUCGAUGUUGGAUCAGGACAUCCUAACGGUGCAACCGCUGUUAAGGGUUCGUUUGUUCAACGAUUAAAGUCCUACGUGAUCUGAGUUCAGACCGGAGUAAUCCAGGUCAGUUUCUAUCUAUGCUGUGCUCUUUUCUAGUACGAAAGGACCGAAAAGAAGAGGCCCAUGCUUGAAGCACGCCUCCCCUCCCCCUGAUGAAAACAACUAAAUCAGGCAAAAGGCACACCUCCGGCAGCCCAAGAAAAAGGCGU
rnacentral:rRNA from 1 species